UAACCCCUCCCCCAACUAUGGCCGAGAGUGUCAUUCACUCAGUGAGCGGAAUAGGGUUUAAUUCAGCAGCGAUCGGAGACAUCACCGCCCCAGAGGGAAGUGAACAAACAGCAUCUGCUUAAAGCAGCGCAUCGGUUUGGAGCCGCGUCCGCAGAUAUGCUCAGAGAUUGGCAUUGAGUGUCCGGGCAGCUGGGGCGGAGACGGCGGCUGUUUUGAAUGGGCUCCCUGGAACACGAGCUGCUCCCGGAACAUGGAGUGAGCGGGGAGGAAGGGAGAGGCCAUUCUCGAGCAGUGUCUGGACAGAGUGAGAAGAACUCGCCAUUGAAGAUCAUUGCUGCUUUCUCUCCCCAAACCGGAGUGAAGCUUCCUAGCUUAGUUCCGGUCUCCACUGUCCCUUGUUAUUGGACAGAGAAUGGCGGGGAAAAUAGCCGCAGAGUAACAAUGUUUCCAGUUACACAAAGAAGAUCAAUUUCAGGCACCAGAAUUGAAGGAACCGGAUGAUUCCUCGAAACAAGGAAAGUGCAGCCUGAUGUUUUCAACUCACACAGGCAAAUCAUUGAAGGAACCAGAAUAAAUGUGAUGUUUCCUCCAGCCAAAUUAGAAUGAAGAUUCCUGCCAGCUCCUUCUCACACACAGUAUGUACAUUAUCACUGACAGAGCACAGAGACACAGACAGGUCAUCAGUUUCACAGUCUCAGGCAGCAUAAAUACUUCCAGAGUCAUUUUCCAUCCACGAAUCAAACAGAGCCGGAGAGGUAGAUGUUGUAUCCAUGUCACCCACAGACGGGAAUGUGCAUAAAUCCAAGUCCAAAUUCUCACCCGCUAUCACAUUAUCACUGGGUCAAUCCCACAAUAGUGCUGCCUUCGCUACAAGUUAAAUAUCAGAUGAAACUGACAUGUUUCCAGUUACAAGCUUACAGGCUUAACAUUAAUGAUGCAAGCUGAGAUCAUGUUAAUUACCAGUCCAAUUUUCGCACAUGUCAUGAGUUUGUAAAUUGCACUGUUAAUUCCCAUAAUGUGUCCUGACAUAUACCUGAGAUACAAGUUCAAAUCUCAAGUACAUUAUCAGUUUGAGAUAUCCUGAAAGCUAGUAUAAACUGAGACAGAAAUUCAGUUUCUAGUUUAAAACUCACCCUGAUUAUGAAACUAAAAGAUACAAUAUCAAUUUGAUGAAUAUGAAUUGAGUUAUAGAUUACGUACUAAUCCUCCAUCCUCACACAGUGUCAAAUGGAAAUACUGUAACAAUUCCAGACUGAGCUCCAUUUUACAUCCAUGUCAAAGUUCUUACUCAGAAUCAGACUGAAUGUCACAGAUCAAAUCGAUUAGUACAACUUGAGUUACACUUACGCACCAAUCCAGUAUCAGAUUGAAGGAUGCAUUAUCUUUCCCAAUUGUGUUCAAAGUGACAAAGAUUUAAUAUUAGGUCAAAACUCCCACAUAUGAUUUGCUUAACAUUAGUGGCCUGUGGCUAUGCUGGAAAUUUAUAUACAAUUAACACAAUCUUACAAACAGUCCCAGAUACUGAAGGUUACACGAUAAAUCCCAUUCCCACCCAGAGUACCAGAGACUGACAAAUAGAGAAUGAUUCUCAAAUGCAUGUUCAGUGCCAGAUGCUGAGACACAAGCUGUUCACUGCACUCACAUUAUUUGAGUGUGCAUGAUACCAAUUGUACCAUUGAGAGACUGUAGAAAGGUUCCAACAGUCACAUAAAGUAACAAGUGCUGACAGAAACAAAUGAAAGUCCACACGCACACACACAGACACACGAUAAAUCCACUUACAUAUACAAUACCAGUGAAUGAAAUAUGCCAACUGAAUCACACAAUUUCAUACAGUAGCAGACACUGACAGAUACAGAAUUACUCCCACUGACAGAUACAGAAUGAAUCUCAUGCUCACAAACAGCACAAGGGACGGAUAGAUCCAUAUGAUUCCCAACCUACAUAACAAUACCACAGACAUAGAAUGCCAUUGACAGAUCCAGAAUUAAACCCACACUCACACAUUAGGAGAGCCUGACAGAUAUAUAUUUUUGUCAUGCUCAAAAAGAACACCAGGGACAUUCAGGUACAAAAUCAACCCCAGUUCCUAUAGAGUGCCAGAAAAUGAAAUUUGCAAUAUGAAUCCUACACUCACCUACUCCCCUAGUGACAGAUCAGAAUGCCUGCCAAACUCAUACACAGUUCCAGUGAAUUGCAAAUGCAGACUGAAACUUCACUCCCAGGAAUGCCAGAGACAAUCAGAUCCUGAAUGGUUUCCACGUUCACAUACAGUAGCACUGACUGGCAAAGAGUGAAACACAUGCACACUCACAAACCACCACCACCAUUAAGAAAUUCAGAGUGAGUACCAAGCUCACUUGCAAUACCAGAAAGUGACUUAUAGAACACAUCCAUUGCUCAUGUACCAUUCCACUGCCAGGCUCAAAAUGUGACCCAACACUCUUGCAGCACCUGGAAAUGCAAGAUACAGACUGACUGUGACUCAGAUAUAUUGUACCAGACAUCAACAGAAGUAGAAUGAAUUCAACAUUCAUCUACAGUUCCACAGGGAAUGUAUCCACACUCACAUACGGUAAACAAGACUGACAGGUUCAGAGUGUCUUUCACAAAGCACCAGUGAGUGACAGAUACAGGAUAAAUCCCUUCCCCUCCCAAUAUAUUGUGAACAAUUCUUGCCUGUUUUGUCCAUCUCUGAUCUGUAAACUUCGACCUAGCAGAGUGUGCUGACAUCUACUGGCCAGAACCCAGAACUGCAACAGAGCGGAGGGAAUUCACAUAAACUGUUGAUGUUGCAGAAACAGGCCAAUGUGAGGAAUAAGUGAUGAGAUGUGAUAGGGUCGACACAGAGAUAUGAGUAUUAAAUCCGAUAAAAAAAAAUUCAAUACAACUUAUGGAAUCUGUAGAAUUUGGAAGUUGUUGUCGUCUUGAGCAGUUGAGUCGAUUAGCGCAGCUGUAUUUAAGGGAAAGCUAGGUAAGUAUAGGAGGGAGAGUGGAUUUCAUGGAUCAGCAGAUAAUGGUACAUGAAGUAUUCUGGGUGGAGUAUCUUGUGGAAUAAUGUACCAAUUCGACCAGAUAGCCCAAUGAAGUAUAUUCUGGGUAGAAUGAACACCGACUUCCAAAGUGUUUCAGAGUUUGUUAGAUACAUAAUGAGCCUCAGACUCACACAGUGUACCAGAGACAGCAAUAAAGAGUGAAUCAUACAUACACACACAUCGCUAGAGACUGACAGAUACAUAAUGAAUCAGCCACUCAAAUCCUUUACCAGAGAGAUAGUGAGACAGAAUGAAUCCUACACUUAAAUACAUACAAGCUUAGAUAGUUACAGCACAGCAAGAGGCCAUUCGGCCCUUCGUGUCUGUGGUCAUUCUCCACCAGAGCCACUCAGCUACUUCUGAUCCCCAGCCCUUUCACCACAACCUGGUAAACCUUUUCCCUUCAGGUGCUUAUCCAAUUCCCUUUUGACAACCCCACUUUCUCCUGUCUCUAGCACAUUCUCUGGCAAUGAGUUGCAGUUCCUAAUGACUUCCUGCAUAAAAACAUUUUUCCCGAUAUCUCCAUUAGUACUUUUGCCAACCACCAUAAAUCGAUGCCUUUUUGAGGAGAGUAACCACAACUUCUCGAAUCUCUCCAUGGAACUAAAGCCCAUCACCCUUACAACCAUUCUUGUAAAGCUUUUCUGCACUCUUUCUAGAACCUUCACAUAUUUCCAAAGAUUUGGAAAUUAGACUAAUACUAGUGUCUGUGUGACAUCUUUCUGUAUCUGUGCAAGGGGGCCUGUAUCUGUCUGAUCUCACUUGGUGUGGGAGGAGUUGUAAGAAUCAGGGUAGGAACUGUCUGCACAGGCAGUCCUUUUCCAUAGGCACACAUCUUUGUUAGAGACUGACAUGUGCACCUCAUAUCCGACACAGACACAGUGCAAGGGCCAGGCAGAUAUAAAAUUUAUCCCACAGUAACAAUCAAUAAUACAAUAGAAAUAUAAAAGCAAAAUAUUCUGGAUGCUGGAAUCUGAAAUAAACCCAGGAAAUGCUGGAAAUACACAGCAGAUCUGGAAGCACCUGUGGCUUCAGAUCAUGACAAUUUAUUGAACUGGACGUGUAACAGAUUUAUGUAGAAAUUGUCACUUAGGAAUGCAGAACGUGAGUGUUCCUGAAAAAAGGGACCUGAUGUCAAAGAUUUUUGUCUUGCCCUCUUCAGUGUUAAUGGGAUCCAAACCAGUUGAUGAAGCUGAGCCAAGACACAGAGUUUGUAUUUAUCGAGAGAUUUUAUUUACAUGUUUAGUCUCACAGCUCUGCUGCUUCACAACCCUAUUUCCCAGCUAACCUCUAUGUAUAUGUGCUCAACGACAAAUAAUACCUUCUUUUCCUAAGCUAAUUCAUGUUAUGUUAACAAACCUUAAAUAACUCAUUGAAAAGACAUUAACUUUCAGAACAGAUACAAGUAUACCAAAUCUCAAAGGGAACAAAAAUUUAUACUGCAUGAGAAGGGGGUGCUGAUUGGUUGACAAAUAUUUACUGAUUGGUAGAGGCGUUGCCAUGGGAAUGCAACAGGGAAGAGUUAACUGCCAAGCUUUUGUCUUAUUUCUAACAGCCAAAUGGACUCUGAUUGCUCCAGGCAUUUCCCUGGGAAGGAAUCAGGGAAUGAUUGUCCACCAAGCUUUUCUUAGGCUACUGGGACAAUAGUUAACUGCAGAGUCAGUUAUAGGACUCACUGUCGUGAUCAGUUCGGUGAUGUUGCUACUGAAACAGUGAGUAUGAAGUGCAGUUAUUUUGGGUGAGAUAAGUCUUGGUUGAGAAGGAUCAAGUGAAUGCUCAAGAAUUCACCAGAAGAAAACAGUUUGCACGUGUGCCAGCCCCAAGAAAGAAGCCUUUGUGACAAGCCCGUGGUAACUCUUCACUGGUUUAUCCAUCUGUAAAGAUAUUGCUGGGCAAAGGAAUAUUGGGAAAUUGAAUCACCUUCUUUUGUUUGUAUUGAGAUCUUUCUGACUGUUUUGUCUGGUUAAUGUAGUUUGUUUUUUCUUGUUUUAAUAAAUAUUUUAUUAUUUGUGUUCAAAGUU